rnacentral:lncRNA from 1 species
UUUAAAAAAUUUUUUAUAUUUUUAGAUUUAUCAAAUUGAAUAUGAAGAUUUGAAAAAAGAAAAAGUAGUACAAGGAGACAUGAAGUGGACUAUUAAAAAAUUGUGUUUCUAGUAUAGUCUAGAAGAGGAAGGAAACUUCUAAGGAUGGAAAUUAUGUGAAAAAAUGUGUUUCUAGUAUAAUCUAGAAGAGGAAGGAAACUUCUAAGGAUGGAAAUUAUGUGAAAAAAUGUGUUUCCAGUAUGGCUUGGCUACAAGGAAAUUUGUAGAGAAGGAAUAUAUGUGAACUAAUGUGUUUCUGGUAUGGUCUGACAAUGGAAACUUUUUCAACAGCCGAAUAUAUGUGAAAUAAUGCUUGGAAAAGAGAAUUUAAUGAAGAUUAUUCGAGCGGAAAAUUGCAAUUAAAAGAUGAGUAUAUAAAAAAACUUAAUAUUCCUUGAUUUUUCCUUGAAUUUAUUAUCUUAUGAUGAAAUUUUUUACCACCGAGAUCUAUGAGUGCCAUGAUUAGUUUAUGUAUUUGCUAACUGAUAUUGCAUUAUUUUCUUUUUAUUUAAACAUUUUUAUUUCGACUUUAGGUAAAACAAAAUGAAAAUAUAUUUUACAGUUAUCAAUUUGGCUGUGGUAAUGAAGAAUUAUUUGAAGUCAGCAACUUAUUUGGAUUCUGGAUCGUUACAAAUUGGACAUAUAUUAUGGUAAUUUCAUUAAUUUUUUAUAGCUAUCCAUUAAUGCUAUAAUAAUAAUAAUGAUAGGAAAAUAAUGGGUUGAUAUUCUUCUUAUGUCUUAUGAAACGAGUGGAGUUUUAGUAUUAUAAUAUUAUAUUUAAUUAAAGAAGUUAGAGGCGCAGAAUGUAACUAAGAUACCACGUGGUUACCUUCAAGUCCAUUAAUUUUAUUCCAAAUUACUAAAAAUUACUUUUGUUGAUUGUUGUGAACAUUACAUACAAAUUAAAAAAUGUAAUCGCA